UUCGCCCUUAGAGUUUGAUCCUGGCUCAGGACGAACGCUGGCGGCGCGCCUAACACAUGCAAGUCGAACGAGAGGGAGGGAGCUUGCUUCCUUGAUCGAGUGGCGAACGGGUGAGUAACGCGUGAGGAACCUGCCUCAAAGAGGGGGACAACAGUUGGAAACGACUGCUAAUACCGCAUAAGCCUACGGUGCCGCAUGGCACAGAGGGAAAAGGAGCAAUCCGCUUUGAGAUGGCCUCGCGUCCGAUUAGCUAGUUGGUGAGGUAACGGCCCACCAAGGCGACGAUCGGUAGCCGGACUGAGAGGUUGAACGGCCACAUUGGGACUGAGACACGGCCCAGACUCCUACGGGAGGCAGCAGUGGGGAAUAUUGCACAAUGGGGGAAACCCUGAUGCAGCGACGCCGCGUGGAGGAAGAAGGUCUUCGGAUUGUAAACUCCUGUUGUUGAGGAAGAUAAUGACGGUACUCAACAAGGAAGUGACGGCUAACUACGUGCCAGCAGCCGCGGUAAAACGUAGGUCACAAGCGUUGUCCGGAAUUACUGGGUGUAAAGGGAGCGCAGGCGGGCGAUCAAGUUGGAAGUGAAAUCCAUGGGCUCAACCCAUGAACUGCUUUCAAAACUGGUCGUCUUGAGUAGUGCAGAGGUAGGCGGAAUUCCCGGUGUAGCGGUGGAAUGCGUAGAUAUCGGGAGGAACACCAGUGGCGAAGGCGGCCUACUGGGCACCAACUGACGCUGAGGCUCGAAAGUGUGGGUAGCAAACAGGAUUAGAUACCCUGGUAGUCCACACCGUAAACGAUGAUUACUAGGUGUUGGGAGAAUUGACCCUCUCAGUGCCGCAGUUAACACAAUAAGUAAUCCACCUGGGGAGUACGACCGCAAGGUUGAAACUCAAAGGAAUUGACGGGGGCCCGCACAAGCAGUGGAGUAUGUGGUUUAAUUCGACGCAACGCGAAGAACCUUACCAAGUCUUGACAUCCCUUGACGAUGCUGGAAACAGUAUUUCUCUUCGGAGCAAGGAGACAGGUGGUGCAUGGUUGUCGUCAGCUCGUGUCGUGAGAUGUUGGGUUAAGUCCCGCAACGAGCGCAACCCUUAUGGUCAGUUACUACGCAAGAGGACUCUGGCCAGACUGCCGUUGACAAAACGGAGGAAGGUGGGGAUGACGUCAAAUCAUCAUGCCCUUUAUGACUUGGGCUACACACGUACUACAAUGGCGUUAAACAAAGAGAAGCAAGACCGCGAGGUGGAGCAAAGCUCAGAAACAACGUCCCAGUUCGGACUGCAGGCUGCAACUCGCCUGCACGAAGUCGGAAUUGCUAGUAAUCGUGGAUCAGCAUGCCACGGUGAAUACGUUCCCGGGCCUUGCACACACCGCCCGUCA
rnacentral:rRNA from 1 species